rnacentral:misc_RNA from 1 species
AACGCACAUUGCGCCCGCCAGCAUUCUGGCGGGCAUGCCUGUUCGAGCGUCAUUUCAACCCUCGAGCCCCCCUUGGGGGGCCCGGCGUUGGGGACCGGCACUAACACCGCCGGCCCCGAAAUGGAGUGGCGGCCCGUCCGCGGCGACCUCUGCGUAGUAACUCAACCUCGCAUCGGGACCCGGGCGCGGCCACGCCGUAAAACACCCAACUUUCUGAACGUUGACCUCGAAUCAGGUAGGAAUACCCGCUGAACUUAA